rnacentral:rRNA from 1 species
GCUUGUCUCAAAGAUUAAGCCAUGCAUGUCUAAGUAUAAACGACUUUAUACUGUGAAACUGCGAAUGGCUCAUUAUAUCAGUUAUAGUUUAUUUGAUGGUCCUUGCUACUUGGAUAACCGUAGUAAUUCUAGAGCUAAUACAUGCUGGCGUGCCCGACUUUUGCGGAAGGGCGGUAUUUAUUAGAUAACAAGCCAAUAUUCCUCCGGGUCUAUUGUGGUGAUUCAUAAUAACUGAUCGAAUCGCAAGGCCUUUGGCCGCGAUAAGUCAUUCAAGUUUCUGCCCCAUCAGCUUUCGAUGGUAGUGUAUUGGACUACCAUGGCGUUCACGGGUAACGGAGAAUUAGGGUUCGAUUCCGGAGAGGGAGCCUGAGAAACGGCUACCACAUCUAAGGAAGGCAGCAGG